UGCCAAAACUUUGCCUGCUUUAGUUCUGC
rnacentral:piRNA from 1 species